rnacentral:rRNA from 1 species
ACGACUCUCGGCAACGGAUAUCUCGGCUCUCGCAUCGAUGAAGGAACGUAGCGAAAUGCGAUACUUGGUGUGAAUUGCAGAAUCCCGCGAACCAUCGAGUCUUUGAACGCAAGUUGCGCCCAAAGCCUUUCGGCCGAGGGCACGUCUGCCUGGGUGUCACGCAACAA